rnacentral:lncRNA from 1 species
CCAGAGUCUUUCUGAGGAUUGGUUGUCUGCUCCGCCGCCCUCCUUUGCGCCCUCUCCGCCCUCCGGGUCUCUGUGCCUGGCGCGGAACUCCGGCCUUUUUGUCCCACGGAGUUGGUCGGCGGAUCCGCUGCUACUUUGUAGUGAGUGGCGGGCAGGGCCUCAGCCGCCGCUGCCGGAACCCCGACCUGGGCUGACCUUGGGCCGUGGGACAUUGUCUCUGACGUCUCGAAGACAGAGCGAUCUCAGUUCUAAAGCGCAGGAUCUCUGUCUUUGUGCAUCUCCAAAACUUCAACUUUCAACUCUACGGAACUCCCACUGAUUCCUGAAAGAAGACUCUUCUCUGCCAGAGGAGGCUGCUACAAAGAAUGAGACCAUGCCUGUUAAAUUGCCUACAGAAGUUCAGAUGCAAGAUCAGAUACAAAAAUUCACCAACCAGUCAGUCAACUACUUCUCCAAGACUACCCACCCCUGACACCCAAGACGAGAUCUAGAACUCUUUGUCAAAUCCUCAGACUCCAGAGACUCUGCCCCCACUUAAGCCCUCCCUGACCCCUGUUACAGGAAUAACACUCUUUUGUCUCUAAUCAGCAAGAAAAAGCUGCAGAAGAAAGACCUUCAUCCCCACUCCUGGUAUCUGUAAAAAUAAAAAGGGAGGAAUGUUGGCAUCAGAUCUGCCAUUUUAGCUCAGGAGCCAUUUUAUCUAGGAACUCCUAAGACAAUGUUGAUCAGCUUCUUGUAAAAUAUGUAACUGCUAAAAGGUCAGCCCCACCCCAGCCCAUUUUGCAACCCCUAAACGGCAUGUGAAAUUCCUCUUGCAGCCUAUAAAGCCCUCGUGAGUGUUGACACUGCUGCUCUCCUUGGAGGGACAGUCUUGCAGGUUUGCUCUAUGAGACUGACAAUAAAUCGCUUAUGUGAGAUUUGGUGUGAAUGGUGUGGUCUGUGGACUUUGCGAAUGUCCUUUCAACUAGAUUCCCACUUUGCCAAAGUUUUAAGAAUAAAAUCCUUGGACU